ensembl:lncRNA
GCCCUCUACAAGAGCAGCAUGUCAACCACCCCCCUUCCCUCCUCUCUCUCUCUCACACACACUCCCUUGCUCAAGAAGGGGCCAUCUAUCUCUACUCUGGACAGAGGCAGCAGGAGCCAAUGAAAAUAAAGUUAGUUUGUGCUGCAGUCACCACAUUGCCAGAGCUGCAGCAAACCCACACAGCCAUCUGGGAACCUCUCUGGUGUUCAGCUGCACGCCUGCCGGUCCAACCCCAAUGCUCCCCUCGCUCCCUCGCCGCUGCGCCACUGCCAGGGCACCAAUCGUUAACAAUCCCCCUUUCCUCUCCUCUCUCCUCUGUCUCUCCCUCGCUUCCUCCCUCCCCCUCCCUCCGGUCUCUCCCCUGACCUUUCCCAGGCAGUGUGUUUCUCCGCUCCAAGCGGGUGGUUCUGUCCAGUCAGCCAGCCAGGCUAUAGGACAGCUGCUCUUGCUGCUGCUGUUGACAUUGUUCUCAGAAUCUCUGUCUGUACUGUAAACACAGCAACAUAGAUCUGUAGAGUAACUAGUGCAGUGCCUAGAGGUGCUCUGUGUGAGGCUGUCUGUUUACCUCCGUGUUCUCCUCUCCAUCAAUAGCACAUCGACAAGACCGAGAGGCCGGACACACAUGUAGAGGGACGGACGCAAGCUUUUUUUUCUUCCUGACGACGUCCUUCGACGCCAGAGCCACAGAUGUAGUGUUGGUGGAGAAUACCUACAUAGCCUAGAAUUUAUCCUUGGAUACAAAAUUCCCAUGAAGCUACACAGAGAGACAGCUAGGUCUGCUGUCAUGAACUUUCAGCGAGCCCGAGGUUUAGAAUGCAAGGUGUACGUGGCGACCUUCGUGUCAAACAUUAGCCUCGACCACAAAAAUGGUACGGCAGCCAUCUUUUCUUUCUCUAGCAGUGUUUUGUUCUAGUUCUGUUCAGAGUGAUGAUCUGGACACCAUUUGUAACUUUACGACUCUGUAUUAAACCCUGCGGCUUCAUUAAGAAUCACUUGAAAAUAAG